CGGUGCAAACCGUGAGGAAGGUGGGGAUGACGUCAAAUCAUCACGGCCCUUACGCCUUGGGCUACACACGUGCUACAAUGGUAUAUACAAUGAGCAGCCAUCUGGUGACAGAGCGCUAAUCUAAAAAGUAUAUCACAGUUCGAAUCGGAGUCUGCAACUCGACUCUGUGAAGCUGGAAUCGCUAGUAAUCGCACAUCAGCCAUGGUGCGGUGAAUACGUUCCCGGGCCUUGUACACACCGCCCGUCAAGCCAUGGAAGCUGGGAGUGCCUGAAGUCCGUAGCCGAAAGGAGCGGCCUAGGGUAAAACUAGUAACUGGGGCUAAGUCGUAACAAGGUA
rnacentral:rRNA from 1 species